rnacentral:rRNA from 1 species
GAUGAACGCUAGCGGCAGGCUUAACACAUGCAGGUCGAGGGGCAGCGCGGGAUAGCAAUAUCCUGGCGGCGACCGGCGGAAGGGUGCGUAACGCGUGAGCGACAUGCCCGUUGCCCGGGGACAACCGGUGGAAACGCCGACUAAUCCCCGAUGGGAUAUUGUGCCGCAUGGCACGAUAUUGAAAGUUACGGCGGCGACGGAUUGGCUCGCGUCCGAUUAGCUUGUUGGCGGGGUAACGGCCCACCAAGGCUGCGAUCGGUAGGGGUUCUGAGAGGAAGGCCCCCCACAAUGGGACUGAGACACGGCCCAUACUCCUACGGGAGGCAGCAGUGAGGAAUAUUGGUCAAUGGGCGGAAGCCUGAACCAGCCAUGCCGCGUGCGGGAAGGAGGCCCUAUGGGCUGUGAACCGCUUUUGCCUGGGGGCAAUAAGGGCGUCGCGCACGUCCGAUGAGAGUACCAGGCGAAUAAGCAUCGGCUAACUCCGUG